rnacentral:rRNA from 1 species
GGAUUUUUUUCUAAACGGCCGCAGAAUUUUAACUGUGCUAAGGUAGCAUAAUCAUUUGUCUUUUAAUUGAAGACUGGUAUGAAUGGUUUCACGAAAUUAAGCUGUCUCUUCUGUAUUUAAUAUAAUUUAAUCUUAAAGUUAAAAAGCUUUAAUUAAAUAAAAAGACAAAAAGACCCCGUAGAGUUUUAUUUUCAUCACUUAAAAAAAUUUAAUGAAAAUUUUGUUGGGGCAACUAAGAAAAAAUAAAUUUUUCUAAACAAACAAUAACUAUACACUAUCAUUUACUUAAUAAAACAAAAUAAAUUACCUCGGGGAUAACAGCGUAAUUUUCUUUGAGAGUCCAAAUCGAAAAGAAAAAUUAC